rnacentral:lncRNA from 1 species
GUUUUUCUCACACCUCUACUCAUAAGAAAUCCAUAGAAGUCUUUCAGGAUUUUGCUGAGCGGGAUAUUUUGGGACUCAAGAAAUAAGGAAAGGAUCAAAUUUGGAUUGCCCGAAACUGUGCUGAGACAUUUGGAAACCCAUCCACACUCAAAUGUAACUGCUCUGCGUUGCCCUUUAAAUUUUGGUACUUCACAAUCGCUUUAUGACAUCAUCCCUCAACAUCACCCGGGUGGACAUCUAACGCAGAAGUUCUGGCCACAGGCCAGAAGAGGCCAUGUCUCUCCCACUGCUGAAACCCAUGGAAACCCAGGUGCAGAGGAGAUGCAGGACCUGAAGACCUAAGGCUGUGAGUGAAGGCCAGGUGGCCACUCUGGCCCCCCAGUCAGAAGCUGGCAUCUGGCGACCCUCUGAAACACCGUGCGGAAUGGGCCUCAGAUUCUUCAGGCCAGGGUGUGCGGAGUGGGAUAGAGCAUUUAUCCACUGACUUCCUCGGCCAUUUACUGAGUGUUGCCCAAGGUGUUGCCAACCUGUGGCUCCAAGAACUUUUCACAAGUGACUAGCAUGCUACUCUGGUGCUGAAGAAAGCUUUGGCCCUUGAGAUACGACUUUGAACCAGGAAGCUCCCAAAUUAAAAUUGAGUCAGAACAUCAGUGUUGUCUGCUUCAGCAUGGUUUCGAACGCCCUCUUCACGUGCAUUAUUUUAAAUCCUUCAUGAAGUACAGUCGACAUAUGUGGCAUCACAGUCGAGUGUCUUUGACCAAAGCUGAAUAAAAUGCUUUGAUGAACUCUGUCUUCAUGUGUGCCGAUCAGGUUCACUGUUAACGUUUUCUGAAUCAAGUGCAAACCUUAUGUUAUGGUUUGUUUAGAUGUCCCUCCACAGCCUCAUG